GGGCUGGUAACUCAGCUGGUUAGAGUGUCAUCUUCACAGGAUGGAAGUCGCUGGUUCAAAUCCAGUCCAGCCCACCA
rnacentral:tRNA from 2 species